GAUGAACGCUAGCGACAGGCCUAACACAUGCAAGUCGAGGGGCAGCACGAAUCAAGCUUGCUUGAUUUGGUGGCGACCGGCGCACGGGUGCGUAACAGGUGUGCAAUCUGUCCAUAAUCGGGGAAUAGCCCAGCGAAAGUUGGAUUAAUGCUCCAUGUGAGUAAGAGAGGCAUCUCUUUAUUUGAAACGUAAGGAUUAUGGGUGAGCACGCUUCUGAUUAGGUAGUUGGUGAGGUAACGGCUCACCAAGCCGACGAUCAGUAGGGGUUCUGAGAGAAGGUCCCCACCACUGGAACUGAGACACGGUCCAGACUCCUACGGGAGGCAGCAGUGAGGAAUAUUGGUCAAUGGUCGGAAGAACUGAACCAGCCAAGUAAGCGUGAAGGAAUGACUGCCCUAC
rnacentral:rRNA from 1 species